rnacentral:tRNA from 1 species
GGUAAGAUGGCUGAGUAAGCAUUAGACUGUAAAUCUAAAGACAGAGGUU